rnacentral:rRNA from 1 species
UGGGGAAUUUUGGACAAUGGGCGAAAGCCUGAUCCAGCAAUGCCGCGUGUGUGAAGAAGGCCUUCGGGUUGUAAAGCACUUUUGUCCGGAAAGAAGUCCUUGGCUCUAAUACAGUCGGGGGAUGACGGUACCGGAAGAAUAAGCACCGGCUAACUACGUGCCAGCAGCCGCGGUAAUACGUAGGGUGCAAGCGUUAAUCGGAAUUACUGGGCGUAAAGCGUGCGCAGGCGGUUUGCUAAGACCGAUGUGAAAUCCCCGGGCUCAACCUGGGAACUGCAUUGGUGACUGGCAGGCUAGAGUAUGGCAGAGGGGGGUAGAAUUCCACGUGUAGCAGUGAAAUGCGUAGAGAUGUGGAGGAAUACCGAUGGCGAAGGCAGCCCCCUGGGCCAAUACUGACGCUCAUGCACGAAAGCGUGGGGAGCAAAACAGGAUUAGAUACCCUGGUAGUCCACGCCCUAAACGAUGUCAACUAGUUGUUGGGGAUUCAUUUCCUUAGUAACGUAGCUAACGCGUGAAGUUGACCGCCUGGGGAGUACGGUCGCAAGAUUAAAACUCAAAGGAAUUGACGGGGUCAUAGCUGUUUCCU